UACGGAGGGUGCAAGCGUUAAUCGGAAUUACUGGGCGUAAAGCGUGCGCAGGCGGUUUGUUAAGUCCGUUGUGAAAGCCCUGGGCUCAACCUGGGAACUGCAGUGGAAACUGGACAACUAGAGUGUGGUAGAGGGUAGCGGAAUUCCCGGUGUAGCAGUGAAAUGCGUAGAGAUCGGGAGGAACAUCCAUGGCGAAGGCAGCUACCUGGACCAACACUGACACUGAGGCACGAAAGCGUGGGGAGCAAACAGG
rnacentral:rRNA from 1 species